rnacentral:rRNA from 1 species
ACGCGUUGGGAGCUCUCCCAUAUGGUCGACCUGCAGGCGGCCGCGAAUUCACUAGUGAUUAGAGUUUGAUCAUGGCUCAGAUUGAACGCUGGCGGCAUGCCUAAUACAUGCAAGUCGAACGAGACCUUCGGGUCUAGUGGCGCACGGGUGCGUAACGCGUGGGAAUCUGCCCUUGGGUUCGGAAUAACUUCGGGAAACUGAAGCUAAUACCGGAUGAUGACGAAAGUCCAAAGAUUUAUCGCCCAGGGAUGAGCCCGCGUAGGAUUAGCUAGUUGGUGGGGUAAAGGCUCACCAAGGCAACGAUCCUUAGCUGGUCUGAGAGGAUGAUCAGCCACACUGGGACUGAGACACGGCCCAGACUCCUACGGGAGGCAGCAGUAGGGAAUAUUGGACAAUGGGCGAAAGCCUGAUCCAGCAAUGCCGCGUGAGUGAUGAAGGCCUUAGGGUUGUAAAGCUCUUUUACCCGAGAUGAUAAUGACAGUAUCGGGAGAAUAAGCUCCGGCUAACUCCGUGCCAGCAGCCGCGGUAAUACGAAUCGAAUUCCCGCGGCCGCCAUGGCG